AGACUGCGCUUCAUCACUGUAAAGAAAAUUCAGUAACCUGUGAGAGGGGCUUGGGGCAAAACAGCUGCAAGCUGUACAUCACUGCAAGAAGAAAGCACAUAAAUCUGAUUCUCCGGAUUUUUGUUCACUGAAGCUAAAUGAAAGAAAGCUAAAAUGUAACCAUGCUGCAACAUCAAAGCAUUUACAUCUCAGGAAUGCAUUAAAUCCCUACUGAUGGCCUUGGCAAACAAAAGAAUGUCUGUCUUCGUGUUGAUUUUAUGUGUGAGAGUAAAUUGAAGAAAAUCUUAUGUAGUGUGAAGACAUCCAGCAGAGCAACCAUUAAUGCAGAUAAGAGAAUCUAUUAUUGCACUAGCGUAAAUCAAAGAAAUGUGUGAUUCAAAUACAAAUAACAACAUCUGAGUGGUAACUAAUGAGAUAAAAUUCAUUCUGACAACAGAUAUAUUGCAACUUGGUCCAAGAUGCCUGACUCCAGGAUACUAAAUCCUGAUUCAGUUAUCAGUUAUACUAGACCCUCAUCAACCAACUCUAUAUCAAAAAAGUUGAGGCUGGCACAGACUGCCCAGAGAAGCUAUGGAUGCCCUGUCCCCUGGAGACAUUCAAGGCCAUAUUGCAUGGGGCCCUAGGCAGUCUGGGCUGGUCGAUGGCAGCCCUGCCUGCAGCAGGGAUGUUGGAACUUGAUGAUACUUCAGAUCCCUUCCAACCCAAGCCAUUCUAUGAUGCUUUGAAAAUGCAAACAAGUGAAGCAAAUCCUAUCAAGUGCAUGCUGGUCAUUACAGAGCCUGUUGCUUUGUGAUCCUCUUGCCGUUAGAAUACAUUUCUGCUCCAAGCUACUUACCCUAGAAUCAUACAGCAUUCAGUCACUGAGUUUCAAGUUGCUGUGCAGUAAUACAUUUCGGUGUCUGCAACAGAAGUAUAACUUUGUGUUUUCCUCUAUUUUGUCCAGGGUAAGGAGGUAGUUCUGCAAGUUGCCAACAAUUUUUCCAUUUCGUUUCCACUGGGAGCAUAGAAAACUGAAGAAAACAUUUACAUACUUGGACACUCUUUCUCUGAUGUCAUUGAUACUCAUGCAAUAACAUAUUUAUUAUGUCUAUUUCAACAUACGUUUGUUGCUCCAAAUAAGGUAGGCUUGAUCUCUGGCUCAUGGGGAAAAUAGCCUGGCACAACUCCCAUCUACAGAACCUAAACUGUUUUUUUUCCCCUAAAAUACUCAAAAAUACUGCAUCAGACAGCCCAUUGGGUACAGUUCUGUUAACUUGUAACUACUUGAAUGGUUUCUGGCUGCCAUUUAAAAACAGAGGCCAGGUUGCAGGAGCAUGUGAGCAAUUAAGCAAUAUAGGCAGUAAUAUUUCAGUAUUGCAGCCCAUGUCUUGGGUUACCACAGUAAGGUUGUUAUCUUGGAGUCCUUUGAGGUUAGAUAUGCCUAGAAGCUCUUUCCUGUCUUGUGGUCAUUCAGAGAUAGAAGAGAAAGACCUGUGCCUUCAAAGCAGGAAUGAAAUCUGUCCUUUCAUCAUAAACAUGUGCCUGAAGAGCUGCAACAAGCAAAUAUAAGAAUUACUUAAGGGCAGAAUUUGGGCCAUGACCACCUCUGAAUUCAUUAAAAAUUGUCUGUGUUCAUUAGACUGAAAAUCAGCAGAACUAACUAUCCAGAUGUACAGAUGAAAAAAUCAAAAUCUGAGGGAAAGAAAAUAGUACUCUUCUACUUUAAUCCUGUGGGCUUUACUCACAUCAAAAAUUCUGCUCACUUCGUGUUCAGCUGCUCAUUUGUUUCUGUACUAUACAACAGUCAUAUCAAAUGUUUUAGGCUACAUAGUCCUACUGCUGAUUUUCAUCGCAUUUCUGCUGCGUCUCCUUACUAGUAUGAGUUAGUAUAAUCACUGCUGAGUGCGCUUCUGAGUAAGGGAACUCUCCAGUCCUGGUGUGCCUGAAGAGUGGGUCUGAUGAGAUCUCGAUCCCCUUUUUCUCAGCUUGUGUUUUAAUUCUUUUCUGUGUCUUGGAGUGUUAUUUGCCAGGGAAGUGAGUAGAAACUGCUUGGAGGACUGCACUGAGUCUCAGUAUUUCUCCUAGGCCAGAAUGGCACAGAGAUGUGUUGUCCCAGAUGCCUUUUCCUGAGCUGUAAUUUACAAUACUUCAAGAUCUUCUGAAAUACUAUAGAAAAGCUUGACAUUAUUGUUAGUUUUAGCUUUGUGAG
ensembl:lncRNA